rnacentral:rRNA from 1 species
GUGCCAGCCGCCGCGGUAACACGUAGGGCGCAAGCGUUGUCCGGAAUUAUUGGGCGUAAAGAGCUCGUAGGCGGUCUGUUACGUCUGCUGUGAAAACCCGGGGCUUAACCCUGGGCUUGCAGUGGAUACGGGCAGACUAGAGGCAGGUAGGGGAGAAUGGAAUUCCCGGUGUAGCGGUGAAAUGCGCAGAUAUCGGGAGGAACACCGGUGGCGAAGGCGGUUCUCUGGGCCUGACCUGACGCUGAGGAGCGAAAGCGUGGGGAGCGAACAGGAUUAGAUACCCCAGUAGUCC